rnacentral:rRNA from 1 species
GUGGGGAAUAUUGGGCAAUGGGGGCAACCCUGACCCAGCGACGCCGCGUGAGGGAAGAAGGCCUUAGGGUCGUAAACCUCUGUUGUGUGGGAAGAAGGAAGUGACGGUACCACACGAGGAAGUCCCGGCUAACUACGUGCCAGCAGCCGCGGUAAUACGUAGGGGACGAGCGUUGUCCGGAAUUACUGGGCGUAAAGGGCGCGUAGGCGGUCAUUUAAGUCAGCUGUGAAAUGGUCCGGCUCAACCGGAUCCUGCGGUUGAAACUGGAUGACUGGAGUGCUGGAGAGGCAAGUGGAAUUCCCAGUGUAGCGGUGAAAUGCGUAGAUAUUAGGAAGAACACCAGUGGCGAAGGCGACUUUCUGGACGAAAACUGACGCUGAGGCGCGAAAGCCAGGGGAGCGAACGGGAUUAGAAACCCGGGUAGUCC